GAUGAACGCUGCGGCGUGCCUCAUACCUGCCAGUCGCGCGAACAGACGAGGAGCUUGCUCCUCUGACGUUAGCGGCGGACGGGUGAGUAACACGUGGAUAACCUACCUAUAAGACUGGGAUAACUUCGGGAAACCGGAGCUAAUACCGGAUAAUAUAUUGAACCGCAUGGUUCAAUAGUGAAAGACGGUUUUGCUGUCACUUAUAGAUGGAUCCGCGCCGCAUUAGCUAGUUGGUAAGGUAACGGCUUACCAAGGCGACGAUGCGUAGCCGACCUGAGAGGGUGAUCGGCCACACUGGAACUGAGACACGGUCCAGACUCCUACGGGAGGCAGCAGUAGGGAAUCUUCCGCAAUGGGCGAAAGCCUGACGGAGCAACGCCGCGUGAGUGAUGAAGGUCUUCGGAUCGUAAAACUCUGUUAUUAGGGAAGAACAAAUGUGUAAGUAACUAUGCACGUCUUGACGGUACCUAAUCAGAAAGCCACGGCUAACUACGUG
rnacentral:rRNA from 1 species